rnacentral:tRNA from 1 species
CUUUAGUUAGUAUAUUUGUACAUUUACCUUCCAAGUAAAAAGUCUACUUAGUAGCCUAAAGA